rnacentral:rRNA from 1 species
GUGGGGAAUAUUGGACAAUGGGCGCAAGCCUGAUCCAGCAAUGCCGCGUGGGUGAAGAAGGCCUUCGGGUUGUAAACUGCUUUUGUACGGAACGAAACGGUCCGGGUUAAUACCCUGGGCUAAUGACGGUACCGUAAGAAUAAGCACCGGCUAACUACGUGCCAGCAGCCGCGGUAAUACGUAGGGUGCAAGCGUUAAUCGGAAUUACUGGGCGUAAAGCGUGCGCAGGCGGUUUUGUAAGAUCGAUGUGAAAUCCCCGGGCUCAACCUGGGAACUGCAUUGGUGACUGCAAGGCUGGAGUGCGGCAGAGGGGGAUGGAAUUCCGCGUGUAGCAGUGAAAUGCGUAGAUAUGCGGAGGAACACCGAUGGCGAAGGCAAUCCCCUGGGCCUGCACUGACGCUCAUGCACGAAAGCGUGGGGAGCAAACAGGAUUAGAAACCCUGGUAGUCC